rnacentral:lncRNA from 1 species
UGACCAGAACCUCUUUGAAUUGCAACUAAGGUAAUAUAGCAGUCCAGCAAUUUUAAUGCAUCUAGAAAAGAUUCACUUUUAAAAGAACUUCUAAGGAUUUUAUUGCCCAUCUCUGGCAAGUUGCAAGUUAUUUUCCACAUCCACUUUUAUGUACCUUAAACCUUGGCGCUGAUAUUCUAACAAAAUGUUAAAACUAUAGUUAGUAGAGUUUAAGUUCCUACCAUAAAAAGCUUCAUAGAAUACUU